CUUGACUGUUGUGGAUGUAGUUUGGUAGUGAUGUAGAUUUGAGUUUUAGGCCUAAUAAGGAAGGAAGUUUGGGGUAUAUAAUUAUGGUGUUUAAUAAAGUUAAAAUUUUUUGAUGUGAAAAAAUGAUAAAUUUGGAAUUGCAGGACGUCACCGUUGAUGUAUUCCAUGAAUUCAAUUCCUGUGAAUUAAUUUGAUAGAAAGAAUUGGAUACAUGUAAGAGUAUACUUUCUACAGAGUGCAUAUAAUUAAUUUUUUCAUAUAUGAAUAUUUAUAUCCGUUCUAAUUAAGGAGCUGCAAUAGUAAAAAAUAAGGGAUUCUUUCCAAAUGAAUAUUAUUACCGAAUAGACUGUAGGGAACUUUUUGAAUUCACAAUGAUCUUCAACAUCUUCUACAACAUCGCAUUUUCUUACAUGGACUGUGAGUAUUUUUUCUAACUCUGUUUUGAGUUUUUCCUUUGAAAAGAAGGAUGAAGUAUGUAUAUAUACAAGAGCCGUGGGUAGCUGGUCACCAUUGUCCUGCCAGCUUCCUCGCGGGGCUAUUUCUGUAUUUUUAUGGAGGUUAAAUUAGUCUUUUGAUUGUUUAUGUCUAACUAAUCACGUACAUGUUUAUUAACUGUUUCACCGAAGUUCAACGUGUCACUGAAUGAGAGAAUACUUGUAUGUCUGUUGGCAUCUUCGUAUACCAUUCUCAAAACUUUUCCUACUAUUGAAUGUUUGAUGCUAAAGUUUAAUCUUUAGGGUUUGUUCAGAAUUCUGAUUUGUGGGUCUUAUGAGCUAUUUCCGUUGUUUAUCUUCUUCUCUUUAUUUACAGGUUUACAGGUGAGCUACUAUUUGAAUUUUUGAACACAUCUACUUCUAUUUUUUUUGAUUUAUUGGUAUAAACAUUUUGAUCUAAUUUUAUUUUUUAAUGUAUCAUCUGAUUGCAAGCAUGACUUUUAAUUGUAAAUUGUGGUAUAAUUAAAAAACUUUUGCCAAUCAACUGUUCAACAGAAAUACAAUUUAGAGAGAAAGUACUUGAAUCAACAUUGAGAAAUUCUGAAAAGAGUCGAGAUAUAUUUUUUUGGCUUGUGUGAGUUAUAUAGGAGACAACAGACUAAUGUUUAUCUAUGAAAUGAAAGAUAUGAUUUUUUUGUUAAACAAGAAGUUGGAUAAUUUGGUAUAUUUGUUAAGAUUUUGCUGGAGUGAUGGUAAACUGUUGCGCAUGAAGUUGAAAUCAAGAGGCCGAGGUGAAGGAUUUUCCAAGGCGAAGUAGUGAGUUGUUGCAGCCUCUGAUUGAAUCAUAGUUAAAUGUAUAUGAAAUAUGAUACAAGUAUAAACAUGAAAGAAACUUCAAUUUGCAGAUAAAGGUGAGAUUGUAGGAGAGUAUUGGUUGAGUAAGGGCUUUAACUAUAGCAUGUGGUUGCUAACUUAGACCCUCUAUACAGUUCAAUCCUUUCCUCAAAUACUUUCCUCAAAUAUAUCGUGUAUUUGCUGAAAAAGAAAAUUGCUAUUCAGUGCAUGUCUUUUAAAAACCUUUGCAUACCUGUCCUGCCAGAUAGUUUAAUGUUUUUAUUAAAUAGAACCUUCUCAAAAUUUAGCGGGAGAAGGAGAAUUGAUAACUUUGAUGAUUUCACCCUCAUCGUGCUUUCUAAGGGUCGGAAUUGGAGAAAGUAAGGGCAAAAAUAAAAAGAGGACUUUGUUGCUUAGUAUAUGAAUUUGGUGCAAUGAAUGCUAUCGGAAGAAUGUGUGAAUUUUCCUUUUCCCUUUAUAUUGUGAUUGUUUUCUUCUGAGCUAUUCUUAUAUUGUAUCAAGUGCUUCAAAUUCUUCGAUCACUACAUUAUGUUGGUUUCGCUUUUCAGUAUAGUCCUCCAAUAUAAUUGGCAGGGUUGGUGUCAUAGACUUAAUCGAAGAAGAAUCUUACCAUGGCUUAAAGAUAGAGCAAGUGACAGAUCUUAAGUUCUCAUUUGUCGUCCAUAGAGGAUGUCUCGGUGAAUAAAACAACCAUGUUGGCUUUUCAGACUCUGGAGUUGUUUUGGCGAUGUGGGAAUGAGUCUUUUGUAUACCUUUAAUGUGAUGUUUAAUAAGGCCCAAUCAAUGACAAUGAAGAUGUUCUUGGUGCAUUAUCCAUGGUUUUAUAUACCUUAAUUCUUAUUCCCUUGGUUAAAUAUGUCCUUAUUAUUCUUUGGGCCAAUGAUGACGGUGAAGGUAAGCUAACAUUUAAAAUCCGCUUGCUAUUCACGACGUUUACCACAUUACACUUCAUGUUUUGUGUUUUCUAACUUGUUCAAUUAGUUGAUUAAUAACUGCUGGUGGUACCUUUUUGAACUCAUUGUGUUGUAGGCAUAGAAAGGUUAAUUUUCUUCCCAGUCAACUUCGAUCAGAUGCUCGCAUAUCAAGAUUUAGAUUGAAGGUGCGAUCUCCAAAAGUUGAGAGGUCUUUCAAAAUAAAAGAAAGACUAGAGGCUUCAGUGACUUUGAAAAAGCUUCGUCUGAUGUUAAUUCUUCCUGACACUUCAAUAAUGGUGUUGUUACACCUGUUAUGUCACGUAUCUUUGCACAUCAAACAGAUAUAGAUAUAGCUAACUCUAUUGAGCCUCUUCAUAUUUCUAAGAUUGUUCAGGAACUCAAUCUUAGGUCCCAACAUUAUGAUUUGUAUGGAAAGUAUAAAGCCAAGGUGCUAUUAUCCGUGCUUGAUGAGGUUUGGAAUGGAUAUUCGUUUUAAUCAGUUGUACUUCUCCAACCAGCAUACUACCAUCGCCUGUGAUUGUCUCUCCUGAAAUCUCACAAAUUGGCCCUUUAUGUUGUCAAUUGGCUUCCUUGAAAAUCAUAUAAUGUCGACUAAUUGUAAACAUCAGUUGCCAUUAAAGGCCACUUAGCUUUGCUUUAUUUUCCCUUAGGUAGCCCAAAAAUUUCCUGAAUCAGUUUCUUUUCUAACACAGCAUGUAAAUGCGCUUAAAAUAUUAUGUUUUUCCGUAUGCAAUCCGUGAAUAGAGGCACGGGUUUGAAUUGAAUUUCUUACAAAUUGUACAUGAAAGUAUUAGUAUGGUUGCAUCUUCCAUUUGUUGA